AACAUCGCGCACCUGCGGGAACCUGCGGAAGGAUCAUUAUCAACACAAUAAAACCCAAUUAUUUGGGUUUUAUCCACCCGACUCUGUGUUAACAUUGAUGUUGAUUUUAAAGGUCAAAAUUUAUUUUUUGGCUUUUAAAUGAAUUUAGUAUGGGUUUAAAAAUGACUAGACGGAUGGCCUCUUUUAGGGGUAUCGACUAGCCGACCCUACUAAAUAAUCUAAAAAACCUCUUUAUACAUA
rnacentral:misc_RNA from 1 species